AGGUGAUUAUUUGUGCUUGCUGAUCUGAGGUGAUUGUUUGAGCAGCAUCUUUGCCUCACACUUUUUAAUGCAAGUAGUCAUGGGGAAUGAUGCUUGUUGACUCUUCUGAUAGGAUAACAUCUGGGAAAGGAUGUAGUGCUUGUAAGCAUAAGCCACAUAGUCAUACCUUGAUCCAUGAAGCGUCGCUUGGAUUUAUUUUUGGUAGUAUAAAAACAUACCAUUUAUUACCUGAUAGAUAGCUGUAUUCUUCAAGUUGUUGAUUGG
rnacentral:lncRNA from 1 species